GCCUGAGGCUCCCUGGGGGGGAGGAGCUCUGGGCACAGAGGCACCAGCUGCCCCCCUUUGUGCAGAGUGGGCCCCGGCUUCUGUGCCAUCAUCUCCCACGAACUCCCGCCUGCCAAAUGCAAGGCUCCCGUCCUCCAGCGGCAAACCGCCCGUGGUCCCCCUCUGACUUUACAGGCCUCUUUCCCCCUGAAUGAAGGCAAUCUUUUUAUAUGUUGACCCUGUGGGUGUGGUGCCUCUUCCUUCGUUACCAGGAUCUCAGCUCUGACUGGGAUCUCAAGGGAGUGUCUGCAUGCAGCCAGUGUUCGAAUGCCCUCAACACUCAGGACGGAGGCCGAAUUCUGGCCUGGAAGGUCCUUGAGCUACCCAGCUCCUCUCCCCAGUUCUCCCUUUGAGGUUGUUCUUACCUGCCCUCGUGGGGGGGGCAAGCCAGUCCCUUCCCUCCACCCUCCGUUGAUCUGCAGAGGAGGUAUGAGGCCCCAGUUGCCCAACCUGUCCUGCCAAGCAGCACCUCCCAGCCCUUAAGCUCCGCCCCUGUUGGAGGGGGCCAAAAGCACCUGGGCAGAGAUGAAAGUGGACCUGCUCGCUUGGGGGCUGCUUGGGAGGUGCUGGUCGCAGAAGAGCUGGCCUGCGUCCCUUGGAGGGGAGGGGGCCCUUGGAGGUGUCCUUGAGGCUCAGGCGGGACUUCAGGCGGACCUCGGCCUAGGAAGAGCAUCUGCUGCUGCUGCUGCUGCUUUCAAAGUGGGUUGCAUUGAUUCCUCCCCAGGGUCGGCUUCCCUGGGCAGAGCUGCCUGCAGAGAGGUGAAAGGGGAGGACGGGAGUUGUAGCUACACAACUAAAGCCCCAUUUUGGUCCUUUGCAGUUUCAGCUGUUAGUGUUACCAGCACAGCAUGCCUUCUAUAGGAAAAGAGACUCCCAGCAUUGGACAAUUCACAGAAAACUACUCCAUGACCUGGAGGAUGGAGAGCCGCCCCAGACGUUUAGCCAUGUCCUCUGCAGUGUGGGAGCAUGAACGGAUUUCCAGAGAAAUGGCAGACCGUGGGAACCAUUUGCGCUUCAUUUUGAGAUGCAGACAACACAAACUCAUCCACCAAGCCUGCGUCCGUCUUCAAGAGGGAAGGGACCCAGGGCAGAGAAAAACACCCUGCAAAGUGCACAGCUCCACAACACAGUCCUUUCAGCAGUCCCAAGUAGGCUCCACACCCAUUUGCUCUAUUCAGGGGACCCUGAGGAUACAGACAAGCCUCCAAGUGGCCUCAAGGACUCUCUAA
rnacentral:lncRNA from 1 species